UACGAAGGGUGCAAGCGUUAAUCGGAAUUACUGGGCGUAAAGCGCGCGUAGGUGGUUCGUUAAGUUAGGAGUGAAAGCCCCGGGCUCAACCUGGGAAUUGCUUCUAAAACUGGCGAGCUAGAGUAUGGUAGAGGGUGGUGGAAUUUCCUGUGUAGCGGUGAAAUGCGUAGAUAUAGGAAGGAACAUCAGUGGCGAAGGCGACCACCUGGACUGAUACUGACACUGAGGUGCGAAAGCGUGGGGAGCAAACAGGAUUAGAUACCCCCGUAGUCCCUGAG
rnacentral:rRNA from 1 species